rnacentral:rRNA from 1 species
GACGAACGCUGGCGGCGUGCUUAACACAUGCAAGUCGAACGGAAAGGCCCUGCUUGUGUGGGGUGCUCGAGUGGCGAACGGGUGAGGAACACGUGAGUAACCUGCCCUUGACUUUGGGAUAACUUCAGGAAACUGGGGCUAAUACCGGAUAGGAGCUCCUGCUGCAUGGUGGGGGUUGGAACGUUUCGGCGGUUGGGGAUGGACUCGCGGCUUAUCAGCUUGUUGGUUGGGUAGUGGCUUACCAAGGCUUUGACGGGUAGCCGGCCUGAGAGGGUGACCGGCGACAUUGGGCCUGCGAGACGGCCCAGACUCCUAUGGGAGGCAGCAGUGGGGAAUAUUGCACAAUGGGCGGAAGCCUGAUGCAGCAACGCCGCGUGCGGGAUGACGGCCUUCGGGUUGUAAACCGCUUUCGCCUGUGACGAAGCGUGAGUGACGGUAAUGGGUAAAGAAGCACCGGCUAACUACGUG